rnacentral:rRNA from 1 species
GCCUACGGGGGGCAGCAGUAGGGAAUCUUCCACACUGGGCGAAAGCCUGAUGGAGCAACGCCGCGUGGGUGAAGAAGGUCUUCGGAUCGUAAAACCCUGUUGUUAGAGAAGAAAGUGCGUGAGAGUAACUGUUCACGUUUCGACGGUAUCUAACCAGAAAGCCACGGCUAACUACGUGCCAGCAGCCGCGGUAAUACGUAGGUGGCAAGCGUUAUCCGGAUUUAUUGGGCGUAAAGGGAACGCAGGCGGCCUUUUAAGUCUGAUGUGAAAGCCUUCGGCUUAACCGGAGUAGUGCAUUGGAAACU